GGACGGUGACGAUUCUAUGUGAUAGGUCUCGUUCGUCGUAAUUGGCUCAAUUGGGCCUUGCCGACCAUACUGAUAUAUCACCACCCAUACUCUGAGCCC